rnacentral:rRNA from 1 species
GGCAGACGGGUGAGUAACACGUGGGAACAUGCCCAAAGGUACGGAAUAUUCUCGGGAAACUGGGAGCAAUACCGUAUGUGCCCGAAAGGGGAAAGAUUUAUCGCCUUUGGAUUGGCCCGCGUUGGAUUAGCUAGUUGGUGGGGUAAAAGCCUACCAAGGCGACGAUCCAUAGCUGGUCUGAGAGGACGACCAGCCACACUGGGACUGAGACACGGCCCAGACUCCUACGGGAGGCAGCAGUGGGGAAUCUUGGACAAUGGGCGCAAGCCUGAUCCAGCCAUGCCGCGUGAGUGAUGAAGGCCCUAGGGUUGUAAAACUCUUUCGUGGGGGACGAUAAUGACGGUACCCCAAGAAGAAGCUCCGGCUAACUUCGUGCCAGCAGCCGCGGUAAUACGAAGGGGGCUAGCGUUGUUCGGAUUUACUGGGCGUAAAGCGCGUGUAGGCGGGCUGGAAAGUUGGGGGUGAAAUCCCGAGGCUCAACCUCGGAACUGCCUCCAAAACUUCCAGCCUGGACUCAAGUAGAGGCAAGUGGAAUUGC